rnacentral:rRNA from 1 species
AACGGCCAUACCAUGCUGAAUAUACCGGUUCUCGUUAGAUCUCCGAAGUCAAGCUUCAUUGGGCGCGGUCAGUACUUGGGUGGGUGACCACAUAAGAACCCCGCGUGCCGUCG